UCGGGUGCUUUUCAAUUCCCACUCCAGUGGGACAUAUAUAUAUAUUGUAGAAAUAAGUUGGUUAAAGCAAUGGCAGUGUUGUAAUUGUAUAGCUUCACAGAAUUGGUUUAACAUUGUUGAUGACUAACUCUGUGAAGACAGUUUGUUAGUUAGUUAGGAUGCUCAGUGUUAAUCAAGUAGCUUAAUACUUACUCAGUGUUCAGUAGUAUGUAUAGAUAGAUCAAUAUUUGCGUUGUAUGAAUUAACACUUAGAGAUCAAUAACAAAAGAAUAAGAC
rnacentral:lncRNA from 1 species